AAGAGCGGAGUGACGGGAGACUGUCACGCUCCGUUCUGUUGGAGCCCAGGGGUGCAAUUCCCCUGGGCCACCCGAC
rfam:Frankia sp. CcI3, complete genome.